UACGUAGGGGGCAAGCGUUGUCCGGAAUCAUUGGGCGUAAAGAGCGUGUAGGCGGCCAGAUAAGUCCGCUGUGAAAACUCGAGGCUCAACUUCGAGCUGUCGGCGGAAACUAUCUGGCUAGAGUCCGGAAGAGGAGAGUGGAAUUCCUGGUGUAGCGGUGAAAUGCGCAGAUAUCAGGAAGAACACCCGUGGCGAAGGCGGCUCUCUGGGACGGUACUGACACUGAGACGCGAAAGCGUGGGGAGCGAACAGG
rnacentral:rRNA from 1 species